AACGCGAAGAACCUUACCUGGGUUUGACAUGCACAGGACGCCGGUAGAGAUAUCGGUUCCCUUGUGGUCUGUGUGCAGGUGGUGCAUGGCUGUCGUCAGCUCGUGUCGUGAGAUGUUGGGUUAAGUCCCGCAACGAGCGCAACCCUCACUCGAUGUUGCCAGCGUUAAGUCGGGAACUCUUCGAGAACUGCCCAUGUAAGUGGGAGGAAGGUGGGGAUGACGUCAAGUCAGCAUGGCCCUUACGGCCAGGGCUGCACACGUACUACAAUGCCCAGUACAGAAUGAACCGAAACCGCGAGGUGGAGGAAAUCCCUAAAACUGGGCUCAAUUCGGAUUGGAGGCUGCAACUCGCCUCCAUGAAGCUGGAAUCGCUAGUAAUGCCGUAUCAGCUACGACGGCGUGAAUACGUUCCCGGGCCUUGUACACACCGCGUUCCCGGGUCUUGUACACACCGA
rnacentral:rRNA from 1 species